UACGUAGGGGGGCAAGCGUUGUCCGGAAUUAUUGGGCGUAAAGAGCGUGUAGGCGGUCCGGUAAGUCCGCUGUGAAAGUCCAGGGCUCAACCCUGGAAUGCCGGUGGAUACUGCCGGGCUAGAGUCCGGAAGAGGCGAGUGGAAUUCCUGGUGUAGCGGUGAAAAUGCGCAGAUAUCAGGAGGAACACCAAUUGCGAAGGCAGCUCGCUGGGACGUAACUGACGCUGAGACGCGAAAGCGUGGGGAGCAAACAGG
rnacentral:rRNA from 1 species